UACGUAGGUGGCAAGCGUUAUCCGGAUUUAUUGGGCGUAAAGGGAACGCAGGCGGUCUUUUAAGUCUGAUGUGAAAGCCUUCGGCUUAACCGGAGUGGUGCAUUGGAAACUGGGAGACUUGAGUGCAGAAGAGGAGAGUGGAACUCCAUGAGUAGCGGUGAAAUGCGUAGAUAUAUGGAAGAACACCAGUGGCGAAAGCGGCUCUCUGGUCUGUAACUGACGCUGAGGUUCGAAAGCGUGGGUAGCAAACAGG
rnacentral:rRNA from 1 species